UCGGGAAUUUUGGGCAAUGGGCGAAAGCCUGACCUAGCAACGCCGCGUGAGGGAUGAAGUAUUUCGGUAUGUAAACCUCGAAAGAAUGGGAAGAAUAAAUGACGGUACCAUUUAUAAGCUCCGGCUAACUACGUGCCAGCAGCCGCGGCAAUACGUAGGGAGCAAGCGUUGUUCGGAUUUACUGGGCGUAAAGGGCGCGUAGGCGGCGCGGUAAGUCACUUGUGAAAUCUCUGAGCUUAACUCAGAACGGCCAAGUGAUACUGCUGUGCUAGAGUGCGGAAGAGGCAACCGGAAUUCUUGGUGUAGCGGUGAAAUGCGUAGAUAUCAAGAGGAACACCUGAGGCGAAGGCGGGUUGCUGGGCCGACACUGACGCUGAUGCGCGAAAGCCAGGGGAGCAAACG
rnacentral:rRNA from 1 species